rnacentral:piRNA from 1 species
UGCUAGAGUCCGUGGGCAGGUGAUUG